rnacentral:rRNA from 1 species
AGAGUUUGAUCAUGGCUCAGAACGUACGCUGGCGGCACGCCUAACACAUGCAAGUCGAACGCAGUAGCAAUACUGAGUGGCAAACGGGUGAGUAUAAUGUGGGAAUCUGCCUUUUGGUUUGGAAUAACACGGGGAAACUUGUGCUAAUACCGAAUAAGCCCUUACGGGGAAAGUUUUAAUGCCGAAAGAUGAGCCCGCACUUGAUUAGCUAGUUGGUAAGGUAAAAGCUUACCAAGGCAACGAUCAAUAGCUGUUCUUAGAGGAAGACCAGCCACAUUGGGACUGAGACACGGCCCAGACUCCUACGGGAGGCAGCAGUGGGGAAUCUUGCACAAUGGGGGAAACCCUGAUGCAGCGAUGCCGCGUGAGUGAAGAAGGCCUUUGGGUUGUAAAGCUCUUUCGUCGGGGAAGAAAAUGACUGUACCCGAAUAAGAAGGUCCGGCUAACUUCGUGCCAGCAGCCGCGGUAAUACGAAGGGACCUAGCGUAGUUCGGAAUUACUGGGCUUAAAGAGUUCGUAGGUGGUUAAAAAAGUUGGUUGUGAAAUCCCGAAGCUUAACUUCGGAACUGCAAUCAAAACUUUUUAGCUAGAGUAUGAUAGAGGAAAGCAGAAUUUCUAGUGUAGAGGUGAAAUUCGUAGAUAUUAGAAAGAAUACCAAUUGCGAAGGCAGCUUUCUGGAUCAUUACUGACGCUGAGGAACGAAAGCAUGGGUAGCGAAGAGGAUUAGAUACCCUCGUAGUCCAUGCCGUAAACGAUGUGUGUUAGACGUUGGAAAUUUAUUUUCAGUGUCGCAGCGAAAGCAGUAAACACACCGCCUGGGGAGUACGACCGCAAGGUUAAAACUCAAAUGAAUUGACGGGGACCCGCACAAGUAGUGGAGCAUGUGGUUUAAUUCGAAGAUACGCGCAGAACCUUACCAACACUUGACAUACUGCGAAUUUUCUAGAGAUAGAUUAGUGCCUUCGGGAACGCAGAUACAGGUGCUGCAUGGCUGUCGUCAGCUCGUGUCGUGAGAUGUUGGGUUAAGUCCUAUAACGAGCGCAACCCUUACCCUUAUUUGCCAGCGAUUCGGUCGG